rnacentral:rRNA from 1 species
CACGCCGUAAACGGUGCGCACUAGAUGUGGGCGGUGCCUUUGGUCCCGUCCGUGUCUGAGCUAACGCGUUAAGUGCGCCGCCUGGGGACUACGGCCGCAAGGCUAAAACUCAAAGGAAUUGACGGGGCCCGCACAAGCGGUGGAGCAUGUGGCUCAAUUCGAGGCAACGCGAAGAACCUUACCUGGGUUUGACAUGUACCUGACAGCCGUGGAAACACGGUCUUCCUUCGGGACGGGUACACAGGUGCUGCAUGGCUGUCGUCAGCUCGUGUCGUGAGAUGUUCGGUUAAGUCCGGCAACGAGCGCAACCCGUGUUGUCAGUUGCUACCGACGCAAGUCGAGCACUCUGGCGAGACUGCCCGUGUCAAGCGG